GAUAUAUUGAAAAUUAAAUCAUCAACAGUACCUUAAGCACGACUCUAUAGGUAAUUUUGGAUAGUGUCUUUUCUUUACAUUUUGAUAAAGGGAAGGAAUUAAUUCACAUCGACACAAACUAAAUAAUAGAUACCAUAUAACUUGUGUGAUACUGUAGAUACUGUAGCUUUUAUAAUGAAUUACUUCUUGAAAGUUUUUUUCCCAUACAAUGUAUUAUUAAACAAUUGUAACGAUAGUCUCUUUUUGUUUAACUAUAGAAAAUGGUAGAUGGUGUGAUACAGCAAACAAGAUUAACAAAUUUUCAUUGGAGAGAAAUUAUUUGGGCUCAGGCUUGCAAUAACAUUAUGAUGAUUUUAAGAAAAAUUGCAGUUCCUGUGAGUUACAUAUUGGUAAGGCAGAUUUUUAAACACUUAGUUGCCAGUUAUCUAAAUAAAAUUAGUUUUCCUAAAGUCGUAGUUGGGAAAGUCUGAGUAGGGAACCAGUAAGUCACUCUAAUCAUCCCAAUAGAGAGUAAAUAUUUUAGUCUUAAAUUACCUCAAAAAAUCUGUAUGUCGUUUAUAAUAUGUAAAUGCCCAAUAUGUAAAGGUUAACAUAAGUUCUCUAAAUUGUCAUAAGUCCUUCCUAAAAACUGAACCUAAGUGUUUAGGUAUCUGUACAGUUAUAGAUAUCCUUGAAAAUAUGAAAUAAAGAUAAUCGAAAUUAAGAUGAAA
rnacentral:lncRNA from 1 species